rnacentral:rRNA from 1 species
GACGAACGCUGGCGGCGUGCUUAACACAUGCAAGUCGAACGCUGAAGCUUGGUGCUUGCACUGGGUGGAUGAGUGGCGAACGGGUGAGUAAUACGUGAGUAACCUGCCCUUGACUCUGGGAUAAGCCUGGGAAACUGGGUCUAAUACUGGAUAUAACAUGUCACCGCAUGGUGGUGUGUGGAAAGGGUUUUACUGGUUUUGGAUGGGCUCACGGCCUAUCAGCUUGUUGGUGGGGUAAUGGCUCACCAAGGCGACGACGGGUAGCCGGCCUGAGAGGGUGACCGGCCACACUGGGACUGAGACACGGCCCAGACUCCUACGGGAGGCAGCAGUGGGGAAUAUUGCACAAUGGGCGGAAGCCUGAUGCAGCGACGCCGCGUGAGGGAUGACGGCCUUCGGGUUGUAAACCUCUUUCAGCACGGAAGAAGCGAAAGUGACGGUACGUGCAGAAGAAGCGCCGGCUAACUACGUGCCAGCAGCCGCCGUAAGAC